UGCUUAGUGUGGACACAUGCACUCAACUUUAUACAAGCUGUUGCCAAAAAUCGAAUUCUGUAAAAUCGGAGUAAUUCCGUAGUGUAGACAUACCAGGGGUUAGGUCUAAUUGUGUAGACAGGC